AGGCCAGCUCCCGUUCCAACACCUCUACCUUAGGGACAUCUGCAGAAAGGCUGGGCAGUGGCAAAAAAGGUAGCCAGUGAAAGGAGGGCUGAUAGACAGGUGCUUGGCCUCAAGAGCCCUGAAUCUGAGCCUCAUCACUCCCUCUGUCUUACUGCAGGGGGCCUUGGAAAAAUGGCCAAUCUCUUAGACCCUCACUUUUAUCAUCUGUAAAAUGGCACUGAGGCGUCCUGUCCUUCUGACUCCUCUGGUUAUGCUAGGAAGCUGAUAAAGACAUGGGCGUCAAAGCAUGAGGCAGAGCAUAAAAGUCACUGACUGAGGGCAUCCCUGCUACUUUGUGAAAGGAACAGGAGGGUAAGGAAGGAGACACAGGGAAAGGACAAGGCAGGUGAGAACGAGUGUCCAGACCUGGGGAUUCCAGACUAAGAACAAGGGCAACAGGAGCAGUGGGGAGAGAUGCAAAACAGACCUGAUCUUAGGAUGCUGGGAAAACUCCCCAGGAGGCGGUGCAGCUCCCUAAGUCGAGCUGACUCCCACAAAGAUCCUCCCCAGGAGGAAGAGUAGUGCCCUGGCAGGGAGCUGGAGCAAUGGAGCUCUCUUGAGGAGGCAGAGGUAUGUCCUGGUAUGCACCCCCCUCUCACCCCAGCAGCUGACCAUGUCACAGGUAGAAGGGAUCAGAGAGACGGUCUGGUCUAACCUCUCAUCUCACAAACAGACCAUCGGCUCACAUGAGAAAGCAAACUAAGAGCUUCUUUAGCUCACUCCUACACUGUCAAAGGAACAUUAAAGCCUUCAAUGAAGAGCAUGCUUGCUUUGUGGCUCCCCAUUGACUCAUCCCUUCUACCUUGAGUUAUGAGGUAGCAAGAGCACAUAGAGAAGGAUGAGGAUGAGACCGGCCCUCUCUCACCUUCCCACAGGACAGACCGAUCACUCCCUCACCCAGCCCAGGGGCCAGAACACGAGAAAGAGUAUUCAGUGACUGAGGCACUCCUCUGCCCCCUCUGGAGAAGGAAGAGAGGACAGGGUCCCUUCCAGGCUUUGAGAAGGUCAAAGCUCAAGAAGAUCUGAGGUUAUCUAGUCCAGCCCCAUUGGGAAACUGAGGCUCAAGGAAGGAAAGAGCCUCCCUCCAAGCCUCCAGAUACCUCUUGCACUGCUGGAUCCUUUACUUCUUCAUUUAAGGAAAGCAGUCCUUGGCCCGUCCAAGGAUCCAAAUCGAACGGAGUCUCCUAAUUGUGAGGACUGUGCACUCUCUCUGAAGGCCUGGGUGCCCCUCAGAGGUUCUGCAAAGGCCUCUCUGAGUCCAGGGAGUCUGCUGGGAGAGGUGAUAUGGGGGAGGCCUCCCCCAUGCUUCCUGGAGUUUAUCUGUGCCGACAGGUCUGCGUAAGAUGUGUUUCAGUCCUGGCUCUCCUUAAGAAGCUACCUUUUAAGAUUCCUUUUUUUUUUUUCUUGGACUGAGACCAUCAAAAGGGAAGAAUUAGGAGGGUUCCUUUGGUUUGCUCAGGUCCCGGCCUGAAAAACAUGGCUCUGACAUCCAAGAUGCCUGCUGCUCUGUCCCUGACUUCAGUCUGAACCCCACCCUGCCCACCCCAAGGCCACGCAGAUGG
rnacentral:lncRNA from 1 species